rnacentral:rRNA from 1 species
CAGUCGCCACGGUAAUACGAAGGGUGCAAGCGUUAAUCGGAAUUACUGGGCGUAAAGCGUGCGUAGGCGGUUUGUUAAGUCUGCUGUGAAAUCCCCGGGCUCAACCUGGGAAUGGCAGUGGAUACUGGCAAGCUAGAGUGUGGUAGAGGAUAGUGGAAUUUCCGGUGUAGCAGUGAAAUGCGUAGAGAUCGGAAGGAACAUCUGUGGCGAAGGCGACUAUCUGGGCCAACACUGACACUGAGGCACGAAAGCGUGGGGAGCAAACAGGAUUAGAUACCCCCGUAGUCCCUGUCUCUUAUAC